rnacentral:lncRNA from 1 species
GGCACUUCUUCAUGCUGCCUUGCGAAGAAGCUGGCUUGCUUCCUCUUUGUCUUCCGCCAUGAUUGUAGAUUUCCUGAGGCCUCCCAAGCUGUGCUGAACUACCAAACCAAUGCAGACCAAACCAAUGCAGAACUCCUAUGUGCUGAUGGUGGUCUUACAUUUCCCUAAGUUUCUGCCGACUAAACUGUGCACACGUUCUCAGGACCUCCUGAAGCUGCGUCACAGGCACUAAUCAAAGAACACAACCAAGAGUUUGGCCUUUUCUUCAGCACUGGGAAUUGUGAUCCAAAGCUUUUCCUGAUGAAGCACAAAGUUGGAGAAAAAAAACGCAAACUAAACAACAACAAUGAAACAGAACAGAGUGAAUCUGCUGUAGCUCAAGAGAGGACGUAGCUGCCCCCACUCCGCAUCCCCGGGCUCGGGUUUGCCUUGCUGACCUCUGCUGCCACCUGGUGCCGCACAGAGAAACUGAGGAGAAACCACAUCAGUCUCCUUCAGCCUCAGCUUCACAUCUGUGGGUCAAGUAACCCUUUCAGAAGCUGAAUAAUGUGGGAAAGCUUUCCUCUCAGGAAAAUGCACACAUCCAACUUUGAGAAGAUGCCCUUGGGGGCGCUUCAAGGAUUCUAGAUAAUAACCCCCUUUCCCGAACAUCCAAGAACCUAAGAUUUUUUUUUUUUUUUUGAGAAAGUCUCGCUCUCUCUCCCAGUCUGGAGUGCAGUGGCGUGAUCUUGGCUCACUGCCAGCUCCACCUCCCAGGUUCACGCCAUUCUCCUGCUUCAGCCUCCCUAGUAGCUGGGGCUACAGGCACCUGCCACCAAACCCGGCUAAUUUUUUUGUAUUUUUAGUAGAGACGGGGUUUCACCGUGUUAGCCAGGAUCGUCUUGAUCUCCUGACCUUGUGAUCCACCCGCCUCGGCCUCCCAAAUUGCUGGGAUUACAGAUGUGAGCCACCGCACCUGGUCCAAGAGCCCAAGUUUUAGAUCUAGAGUGAUGUCAGCAUGACAUUGAUUUCCUGAGGCCCAGGGGCGAAGGAGCUGAGGACAGCAGAGGGGUGAAGGAACUCAGCUACAGACAGCAGCAGCUGAUGCACAGGCCUCCCAGCGCCUGAAGUCACCCGGAAUUGGGAAGUGCUCAGAAGCUUACAAAGCUGCCUCGAGGAACAGUAAGAGGACCUUGUGCAUGAAUAAUUUGUUUCCACACUGCAGACAGAAGAAUCCCAGACUUCUUAGAGAACCCAGUGACUUUUUGCACCUUAAAUCUGUGAAAUCCUCAUGCUUUCUUCUGCCGUAUCCAUCGUUCAAACAAACAUGAGGCAAAGCUAGACACAUUCCUGAAGGAACCCAAGAAAUUCCUCUCUUUCUCUCUCUGGAAUGAAAUGAAUUCUCUAGACCACCAGUUCUAACCUUCAAAAACGAAACCUGUUUGUGAGAUCUCCUUCAAAUACUACUGUAGACCCCAGUGUUUAUUCAUUAAAUUUUUUAAACAUUUGUUUUA